rnacentral:rRNA from 1 species
GAGUUUGAUCAUGGCUCAGGAUUAACGCUGGCGGCAUGCCUAAUACAUGCAAGUCGAACGGAGUAGCAAUACUUAGUGGCGAACGGGUGAGUAACACGUAUCUAAUCUACCAUUUAGUGGGGAAUAACUGUUGGAAACGACAGCUAAUACCGCAUAAUAUUGCUGGAUAAUUUCCAGUAAUGAAAGGAGCUUUCAAGCUCCGCUGAUUGAUGAGGAUGCGGCGCAUUAGCUAGUUGGUAGGGUAAUGGCCUACCAAGGCAAUGAUGCGUAGCCGAUCUGAGAGGAUGAACGGCCACAUUGGGACUGAGACACGGCCCAAACUUCUACGGAAGGCAGCAGUAGGGAAUUUUUCACAAUGGGCGAAAGCCUGAUGGAGCAAUGCCGCGUGACUGAUGAAGGUC